ACUAUCGCUUAUGUCAUAUUGAAAGCACCUUAUCCCGUUUGUUCUAAGAAGUGAAUCAACUUUCAGCUACUACUGUACUUUGACCAGAUACGUCUUGGGAAUCCGUUGUGAUGUAAGCU
rfam:Rhabditophanes sp. KR3021 genome assembly, scaffold: RSKR_scaffold0000061